rnacentral:rRNA from 1 species
UGGGGAAUAUUGGACAAUGGGCGAAAGCCUGAUCCAGCCAUGCCGCGUGUGUGAAGAAGGCCUUAUGGUUGUAAAGCACUUUAAGUGGGGAGGAAAAGCUUAUGGAUAACACCCAUAGGUUCUGACGUUACCCACAGAAUAAGCACCGGCUAACUCUGUGCCAGCAGCCGCGGUAAUACAGAGGGUGCAAGCGUUAAUCGGAAUUACUGGGCGUAAAGCGAGCGUAGGUGGUUUAUUAAGUCAGAUGUGAAAUCCCUGGGCUUAACCUAGGAACUGCAUCUGAUACUGAUAAACUAGAGUAGGUGAGAGGAAAGUAGAAUUCCAGGUGCAGCGGUGAAAUGCGUAGAGAUCUGGAGGAAUACCGAUGGCGAAGGCAGCUUUCUGGCAUCAUACUGACACUGAGGUUCGAAAGCGUGGGUAGCAAACAGGAUUAGAUACCCUGGUAGUCCACGCCGUAAACGAUGUCUACCAGUCGUUGGGUCUUUUAAAGGCUUAGUGACGCAGUUAACGCGAUAAGUAGACCGCCUGGGGAGUACGGCCGCAAGGUUA